rnacentral:rRNA from 1 species
GACGAACGCUGGCGGCGUGCUUAACACAUGCAAGUCGAACGGAAAGGCCCUGCUUUUGUGCGGUGCUCGAGUGGCGAAGGGGGGAGUAACACGUGAGUAACCUGCCCCUGACUGAGGGAUAACUUCAGGAAAGUGGGGCUAAUACCGGAUAGGAGCUCUUGCUGCAUGGUGGGGGUUGGAAAGUUUCGGCGGUUGGGGAUGGAAUCGCGGCUUAUGAGCUUGUUGGGGGGGUAGUGGCUUACCAAGGCUUUGAAGGGUAGCCGGCCUGAGAGGGUGACCGGCCACGUUGCGACUGAGCUACGACCCAGACUCGUCCCCGACGCAACGGUGCGGAAUAUUGCACAGCGGGCUGGAGCCUGAUGCAACGACGCCGCGUGCGGGAUAACGUCCUUCGGGUUGUAAACCAAUUUUGUCUGUGCCGAAGCGUGAGUGACGGUACUGGGUGAAGAAGCACCGGCUAACUACGUG